AUUGAACGCUGGCGGCAGGCCUAACACAUGCAAGUCGAGCGGAGUGGCUGACGGGCGGGUAAGGCCUAGGAAUCUGCCUGGUCGUGGGGGAUGACGUCCGGAAACGGACGCUAAUAUCGUAUACUAUCUGCUGCGCCUAGGUCGGAUUCGCUAUUUGGUGGGGUAAAGGCCUACAAAGGCGACGAUCCGGACCGGGUCUGAGAGGAUGAUCAGCCACACGGGAACUGGGAAACGGUCCAGACUCCUAGGGGAGGAAGAAGUGGGGAAGAUUGGACAAUGGGGGAAAGCCUGAUCCAGCCAUGCGGGGUGUGUGAAGAAGUUCUUCGAAUUGUAAAGCCCUUUAAGUGGGGAGGCGGUACCAAAAGAAUAAGCACCGGCUAACUUCGUGCCAGCAGCCGCGGUAAUUC
rnacentral:rRNA from 1 species